GAUGAACGCUAGCGGCAGGCUUAACACAUGCAAGUCGAGGGGCAGCGGGGUGUAGCAAUACAUCGCCGGCGACCGGCGCACGGGUGCGUGACACGUAUGCGACCUUCCUCUUACUGGAGAAUAGCCCGGAGAAAUCCGGAUUCAUACCCCAUAACACCCUGAGGGGCAUCCCGUGGGUUUAAAAGGUCAGUCGGUAAGAGAUGGGCAUGCGCCCGAUUAGCUAGUUGGUGAGGUAAUGGCUCACCAGGGCUACGAUCGGUAGGGGGCCUGAGAGGGUUAUCCCCCACACUGGUACUGAGACACGGACCAGACUCCUACGGGAGGCAGCAGUGAGGAAUAUUGCGCAAUGGAGGCAACUCUGACGCAGCCAUGCCGCGUGCAGGAAGAAGGCGCUACGCGUUGUAAACUGCUUUUAACCGGGAAGAAACCCCUCGACGUGUCGAGGGUUGACGGUACCGGAGGAAUAAGCACCGGCUAACUUCGUGCCAGCAGCCGCGGUAACAC
rnacentral:rRNA from 1 species